ACGAAAACACCGCUGACAGUCCUAAAUAUUAAAGCACCGAGUCUUCCACGUAGCGGGGUGGUGGCUGGGAGACGGCAAAGAGAUGAAAUUGUCGAGAUAAGGAGUAAGACUCCAGAGUCUUCAGGUGAAUGCCCUAAACUUCAAACAGCAACAUCCGGGGGAAAAGUCAACUGUGUAUCCUUUGACUAGUUCAGUCAACAAUACCCCUUAUUUCCUGCCGAGGCCACUUAAUAGCCCGCCCCCCCCAAAGGCGUUUCCGAUUGACCCUCCCAGGAACCUAGAAACGACCAGCCUCGACGCAGCUGUACAUUAAGCGGAAAGUAAAGGGGGCAGGGGGCUCGCGGGAGACAAGUAGAAAAAGAAAUGAAACUUGACACCGGAUGAAUAGCGAACUUGGGGAGAGGCAGAGACUAGGGUGACCGUGUGCCCCGGAGCAGAUCAAAGUCCGGGGAAGAGCCGCAAACUCACGCGGCCUGGGUUUUGUUCAUUUUUUAGGAAUUGUCGCUCGUGGACCAGCGACACUGGCACCCUCAGAGACCAUUAUUACUAUCCACGACUUCCAUAGAUUUUAGAGUGCCCCCACCCCCUGCAUUAUCUCUUUUGAUCCUAUUGACAUAGACAAAGAAUUCAGCUAAGGAUCCAGAGAUGCUGGGGAAGGAAAAGUCAGGCUGGGAUUCUCCCCGCUUCUUAGAAAAUGCAGCUGUGAUGCAUGUAACCGAUUAUGUCUAGAAAUCAGACUCCAAUGACAGAGCCCGGAAGUGGAGGGAGAACAGGGGCUCUCCUAUGAUGGAAAAGAAUCCGAUGACAAGGUCUCAUGGAGCAAAGAGAAUUCUGACCGAGUCCUCCAGAGGAGAGCCUAGAUCUCAGUCACCUUUCCAGUCCGGGACGCGGUGGCGCAGGCCCUCUGCCAGGUGCUGCUCAGUAAGU